rnacentral:lncRNA from 1 species
ACAUCAAUGAGUGGCUCCAAAUAGACCUGGGGGAGGAGAAGAUCGUGAGGGGCAUCAUCAUUCAGGGUGGGAAGCACCGAGAGAACAAGGUGUUCAUGAGGAAGUUCAAGAUCGGGUACAGCAACAACGGCUCGGACUGGAAGAUGAUCAUGGAUGACAGCAAACGCAAGGCAUUGAUCUAAAAACAUAUCCUUUAAAUAACCAAAUUGCCACAAGUUACAUGAUCAAGACAAGAAGAUAAAAGAGCAGUAAAAUACAAAAACUUAGAGCGGUUCACCUGGUUAAAUGUACAGGAUGGGGAAGGACAUUGGAAGGUAAAGGCAGACUGUCAUUCUCUGAAGCGAGAAGUGCCUGAAACAUUUUUUCAGGCAAAGCGGUUCCAUGUCCUGGUCAUUUCAAAAAUAUCCAAGUUCCUACAUUUUAUGGUAUCAUCAGAAUAUGAAGAGCCAAAAGAAUGGAUGAUGUCAUUUUCUGUUCUAUAAACAAUAAAUGUAAUGUAUUAACAAAGUAAAUACAGGCAGAA